AAAUGAACCUUAAUAUGUAGCCCAUGCUGUCUUUAAAAUUGCUUAUUAUUAUUAUUAUUAUUAUUAUUAUUAUUAUUAUUAUUAAUUCUUAAAAUCUCAUGUGUAGGGGGCUUUUGCCUAUGUGUGUGCCUGUGCUCUUCCUGGAUGCCUGGUAUCUGAGGAGUCUAGAAGAGUGCAUCAGUUUCCCUGGAACUGAAGCUACAGACGGUUGUGAACCUCCAUGUUCCCUGCCUGGACUCCCCUCAAUACCAGAUUAUGUCCUGGAAAUGUAAGCAAAAUAAUCCAGUCCUCCAAGGUGCUUUGGGUCAGAUGUUUUAGCAUAGCAAGAGGAAAGCAACUAAGACACUAUUAAAGCCAGUCAAGUAAAAUAAUGUGAGAGGCAGAGACAGCAAACUCUCUUCUAAUGGGUGGUAUACAGAGCCUUUGUCCAAACCCAAGGCCUUCUGGGAAGAAGCAUGGCUUAUAUUCGUCACAGCCCUGAAUGAAACACCCCUCAACAACUGUGCUGUAUUAUUAGAAUGCUGCAGAAGCAAAGUGAGCAUGGGGAGCCCUUGUCCUGUGCUUAGGGGUAUUUACUUGGCAUCUCAAGUUUAUGGACAAGUCUUGGCUGUGCUUCUAUUUGGGUGAGCUUGAGCAAUCCAAUGUACUUCUUCCAACUUCAGUUUCUCUUUGCAUUGUAGUCAUAAUGAAAGAAAUUUAAGUACAUCAAGUACCCAAGACAGUUCUUGACAAAGCUCUUAUUAGCAUUAAUUGCUACCUUGUCAACAUCCACUGUUGGGAAGAGGGUGGGUCCAGGAUCAGGUGAUAGGUUACCAGGCUGGACAGACAGGCUUUGUGCAAUUAUGGGAUCCUUGGAGAGCAAACUAAGCAGCCAGAGUGUGGGAUAGUCUGGGUGGUGUACUAACACCUUAGAAAAGCUCUCAGGCAAUUGAGUUAUUCUAAGCAGAGCCCCAGUAGGUUGGGGACUUCUGGAAGAUGACUAGGAAGGCAUGUCUCUGGCUAAAAGCAAAACAGGGUAACUUUACCCCAGACAAGGCUUCAGUCCUGAGGAGACAAACUGAGACAGGGGAUGGUCUGAUGAACUAGGUCCUGGCAUGGUAGGAGGUCGGCUGAAAGGAAGGGAAGAAAUAUUGUGACAAGGGAGAUCUGCCACAGCCUCAAAGCUCUUCUGUAAACCAGGAGCUAAUUACAAGCUUGGUGAGGCUGAGCCCCUUGCUAGAGCAGCUGUGGCCAUCAGUGACUCAGUUCGAACUGUCCCUCUGCCAGAUAAUCUGGUGUUCUGGGAGGCACAAAUGGUCAGAACAUGGCAAUCUGCAGCAGACAGGAACACGGAAAACAUUUCUCAACAGUAACAAUGGCCUGAAUGUGGAAGAAAAAGACUUUUCUUAUCUGCCUAGGAUGUACAUGUAGUCUGUUUUUGGAAAAGAGAGGGCCUAGGUUUAUACCAGCUGUCUCCUUGGUUUUAUAACAAUGGUUAAAAACAAAACAAAAUGAAAAGGUUGGAGUGUGAGAGUAAACAAAGCUACUUGGCCUGUAGAUUUUGUGAAAUUUACCAAAUAUGAGAAACUCUGGGCUUUUGAUUUCUUUGUUGGUAUUGCUUUUUGUUUGUUUGUUUUUAUUUUAGAGGCAACUCUGAAUAUGAGAGUAUAUUACAAAUUGUGUUAGCAGUAGCCUGGGAGUCUGUAUUUCAAAUUUCCUGUCAUUUUUCUUUUUCCAUUUAUUUGUUUUGGAGACAUGAACUACUCCUAUGGAGAAAAAAAU
rnacentral:lncRNA from 1 species